GGGCGCGUAGCUCAGCUGGUUAGAGCGCCACACUCACAUUGUGGAGGUCAGGGGUUCAAAUCCCUUCGCGCCCA
rnacentral:tRNA from 1 species